rnacentral:tRNA from 3 species
GGCGCUAUAGCCAAGUGGUUACGGCGACAGAUUAGAAUCGGUCACCGAAUCAUCUGUUCCUCUUUGAGGGCGCAGGUUCAAAUCCUGCUGGCGUCG